AGGACGCUGACAAGUAUUGCAGAGAAGAAGCCGAGAAACAAAUGGAACACCUACGAAACGCUUUAACAUUAAACAUGGAAACGGGUGGAUCGGAUAUUCCCAUUUUGAUAAACAAACAAAUGAAGGAUUGCCGCAAGGCUCUAGCGACGGAAGCAGGGCAGCAUCUGUUUGAGGUUUACACUAAGGAGCUAUCUCAGAAAAGCCCAACGCGUGACUCAGCUAAGUCCGCCUUACGCGUGGAGGCGUUUUUGAGAGAGGCAUU